AACUUUUUUAAUGACUGAAGGAUGCUGACCAUUUCAAAGACAUUGCUGGCUAUUUUUCCAAGGAAGAGUUUGAAGAAAUAAGUGACUGGAAGAUGCUCCGUUAUAAGAAUGUGAAGUGGAAUUAUGAAGCCAUACUUG